rnacentral:misc_RNA from 1 species
AAGUCGUAACAAGGUUUCCGUAGGUGAACCUGCGGAAGGAUCAUUAUUGAAUACGUUUGGUUCUGAUGCUGGCUCUUCACUGAGCAUGUGCUCGAUCCAUAACUAUUUAUCUUCUCUUGUGCACCUUUUGUAGUCUUUCAGAGCAAGUGAUAACUCUCGCAGCAAUGCGGUUUGGGGGACUUGGGCGUGAGCCCUUCCCCUGCGUUUGCUUCUUUGGAGGGCUAUGUUUUCAUAUACACUAUAAAGUUACAGAAUGUCUUUUAAAGAUUGUGCUAGUCGCAGUCAUUAAACCUAUACAACUUUCAGCAACGGAUCUCUUGGCUCUCCCAUCGAUGAAGAACGCAGCGAAAUGCGAUAAGUAAUGUGAAUUGCAGAAUUCAGUGAAUCAUCGAAUCUUUGAACGCACCUUGCGCCCUUUGGUAUUCCGAAGGGCAUGCCUGUUUGAGUGUCAUUAAAUUAUCAACCUUGUUCGCUUUUACGAGCUUGAACGAGGCUUGGAUGUGAGGGCUUGCUGGCUUCCUUCAGUGGAUGGUCUGCUCCCUUUAAAUGCAUUAGUGGGAUCUCUUGUGGACCGUCACUUGGUGUGAUAAUUAUCUAUGCCACUUGACUUUGAAGCAAAUCUUAUGGGAACCCGCUCAUAACCGUCUCGCAAGGUAUUUGACCUCAAAUCAGGUAGGACUACCCGCUGAACUUAAGCAUAUCAAUAAGCGGAGGAAAAGAAACUAACAAGGAUUCCCCUAGUAACUGCGAGUGAAGCGGGAAAAGCUCAAAUUUAAAAUCUGGCGGUCCCUGUGGCCGUCCGAGUUGUAAUUUAGAGAA